rnacentral:rRNA from 1 species
UGAGGAAUCUUCCGCAAUGGGCGAAAGCCUGACGGAGCGACACCGCGUGGUGGAUGAAGGCCCUCUGGGUCGUAAACACCUGUUCUGAGGGACGAAAUUUUUUGACGGUACCUCAGGAGAAAGUAUCGGCAAACCCUGUGCCAGCAGCCGCGGUAAGACAGGGGAUACAAGCGUUACUCGGAAUCACUGGGCGUAAAGCGUCUGUAGGCGUCUUGGAAAGUCUGAGGUGAAAUUUCGGAGCCUAACUCCGAACCCAUCUUGGAAACUCCCGAGAUUGAGCAAUAGAGAGGCACCUGGAAUGCCAUGUGUAGGAGUAAAAUCCGUAGAUACAUGGUAGAACGCCAAAAGUGAAGACAGGGUGCUAGCUAUUCGCUGACGCUGAGAGACGAAAGCGUGGGGAGCAAAGCGGAUUAGAUACCCCCGUAGUCCCUGAGCGGGCUGGCAAGGCGCAU